rnacentral:rRNA from 1 species
UACGGAGGGUGCGAACGUUAAUCGGAAUCACUGGGCGUAAAGCGCGCGUAGGCGGUUUGUUAAGUGGGAUGUGAAAGCCCCGGGCUUAACCUGGGAAUUGCAUUUCAAACUGGCGAACUAGAGUGCGGUAGAGGGAGGUAGAAUUUCCUGUGUAGCGGUGAAAUUCGUAGAUAUCAGGAGGAACACCAGUGGCGAAGGCGGCUUCCUGGACACUAACUGACGCUGAGACGCGAAAGCGUGGGGAGCAAACAGG